rnacentral:rRNA from 1 species
GAUGAACGCUGGCGGCGUGCCUAAUACAUGCAAGUCGAGCGAGCGGACGAGAAGCUUGCUUCUCUGAUGUUAGCGGCGGACGGGUGAGUAACACGUGGAUAACCUACCUAUAAGACUGGGAUAACUUCGGGAAACCGGAGCUAAUACCGGAUAAUAUUUUGAACCGCAUGGUUCAAAAGUGAAAGACGGUCUUGCUGUCACUUAUAGAUGGAUCCGCGCUGCAUUAGCUAGUUGGUAAGGUAACGGCUUACCAAGGCAACGAUGCAUAGCCGACCUGAGAGGGUGGCGGGCACCAGGGGAACUGGAACGCGUCCAGGCCGCCGCGGGGGGACACAAGACGGGAAUCUUCGGCAUGGGGGGAAGCCCGGGCGGAGCAGGGCCGGGUGGGUAUUAAGGGUUUUCGGAUCUAAAAACUCUUUUAUUGGGAAAAAAAAUAUGUGAAAGGAACUGGGCACUUCUUGAGGGAACCUAAAAAAAAACCCACGACAACCUCCGGG